rnacentral:tRNA from 1 species
GCCUGGGUGGCUCAGUCGGUUGAGCAUCCGACUUCAGCUCAGGUCACCAUCUCGCGGUCCGUGAGUUCGAGCCCCGCGUCAGGCU